rnacentral:rRNA from 1 species
CAGUCGCCGCGGGAAUACGUAGGUGGCAAGCGUUGUCCGGAAUUAUUGGGCGUAAAGCGCGCGCAGGUGGUUUAAUAAGUCUGAUGUGAAAGCCCACGGCUCAACCGUGGAGGGUCAUUGGAAACUGUUAAACUUGAGUGCAGGAGAGAAAAGUGGAAUUCCUAGUGUAGCGGUGAAAUGCGUAGAGAUUAGGAGGAACACCAGUGGCGAAGGCGGCUUUUUGGCCUGUAACUGACACUGAGGCGCGAAAGCGUGGGGAGCAAACAGGAUUAGAUACCCCGGUAGUCCCUGUCUCUUAUAA